rnacentral:rRNA from 1 species
GACGAACGCUGGCGGCGCGCUUAACACAUGCGAGUCGAACGGAAAGGCCUGCUUUUCCUUGUGGAUUGCGGGUACUCGAGUGGCGAACGGACGAGUAAACCGUGAGUGAUCUGCCCCCAACUUGGGUAUAAACCCGGGAAACUGGGUCUAAUUCCCGAUAGGACCGCAGGGUGCUGGCGUUGGUGGACAACGAUUUUUUAGUGUUAGGGGGUGAGCUCGCGGACUAUCAGCUUGUUGGUGGGGUAAUGGGCUACCAAGGCGGGGACGGGUAGCCGGCCUGGGAGGGUGGACGGCCACAUUGGGACUGAGAGACGGCCCAGACUGCUACGGGAGGCAGCAGUGGGGAAUCUUGGACAAUGGGCGGAAGCCUGAUGCAGCGACGCCGCGUGGGGGAUGACGGCCUUCGGGUUGUAAACUCCUUGCGACCGCGAGGAAGCCACCUGGUUGGAAGGGUGGUGACGGUAGUGGUAGAAGAAGCACCGGCUAACUACGUG